UGAGGAAUAUUGCGCAAUGGCCGAAAGGCUGACGCAGCGACGCCGCGUGAAGGAUGAAGUUCGUUAGAAUGUAAACUUCUUUUGUAGGGGAUGAAUGUGCCGUUUUGCGGCAUUGACCGUACCCUGCGAAUAAGGAUCGGCUAACUACGUGCCAGCAGCCGCGGUAAUACGUAGGUGGCAAGCGUUGUUCGGAAUUACUGGGCGUAAAGCGCGUGUAGGCGGCUCUUCAAGUCAGGCGUGAAAGCCCCAGGCUCAACCUGGGAAAUGCGUUUGAUACUGUCGAGCUAGAGUGUGGAAGGGGCGAUUGGAAUUCCGUGUGUAGCGGUGAAAUGCGUAGAUAUACGGAGGAACACCAGAGGCGAAGGCGGAUCGCUGGGCCAACACUGACGCUGAGACGCGAAAGCUAGGGUAGCAAA
rnacentral:rRNA from 1 species